AGGAUUAGUUGGAUUAGAUUAGCUGGUUGCGCUUUAUUAAAGUUGGGGUUCGAUUCCCCACUAAUCUUU
rnacentral:tRNA from 1 species